rnacentral:rRNA from 1 species
AGUCGAGAAGCUUUCGCAAUGGGNGAAAGCCUGACCCAGCGACGCCGCGUGAGNGAUUAAAGCCCUAUGGGUUGUAAAGCUCUGUCAGAUUGGGAAGAAAACUUCACGGUUAAUACCCGUGAAGCUUGACGGUACCAUCAGAGGAAGCACCGGCUAACUCCGUGCCAGCAGCCGCGGUAAUACGGAGGGUGCAAGCGUUGUUCGGAUUCACUGGGUAUAAAGGGUGCGCAGGCGGCCUAGUAAGUCAGGGGUGAAAUNUGACGGCUCAACCGUNAAACUGCCCCUGAAACUGCAAGGCUUGAGUCCGGGAGAGGAAGGUGGAAUUCCUGGUGUAGCGGUGAAAUGCGUAAAUAUCAGGAGGAACACCGNUGGCGAAGGCGGCCUUCUGGCCCGGUACUGACGCUCAUGCACGAAAGCUNGGGGAGCAAACAGGAUUAGAUACCCUGGUAGUCCUAGCCGUAAACGAUGGGCACUAGGUGUUGGAGGAGUCUACCCCUUCAGUGCCGCAGCUAACGCAUUAAGUGCCCCNCCUGGGGAGUACGAU